UGCCAGCAGCCGCGGUAAUAUGGAGGGGGUUAGCGUUGCUCGGAAUUACUGGGCUUAAAGAGUUCGUAGGUGGUUGAAAAAGUUAGUGGUGAAAUCCCAGAGCUUAACUCUGGAACUGCCAUUAAAACUUUUCAGCUAGAGUAUGAUAGAGGAAAGCAGAAUUUCUAGUGUAGAGGUGAAAUUCGUAGAUAUUAGAAAGAAUACCAAUUGCGAAGGCAGCUUUCUGGAUCAUUACUGACACUGAGGAACGAAAGUGUGGGGAGCAAACAGGAUUAGAUA
rnacentral:rRNA from 1 species